AACCCGUAGAAUCGAACUUGUGUUCUACUACUAUUGCAGCCACAAGCUCGUUUCUAUGGGUCUA
rnacentral:pre_miRNA from 1 species